AUGGUCAGCACAUAUACUAAAAUUGGAACAAUACAGAGAAGAUCAGCAUGGCCCCUGCACAAGGAUGACAUGCAAAUUCAUGAAGUGUUCCAUAUUUUU
rnacentral:snRNA from 1 species